rnacentral:rRNA from 1 species
UACGGAGGCCCCAAGCGUUACUGAGAAUCACUGGGUUUAAAGGGUGCGUAGGCGGUUUGCUAAGACCGAUGUGAAAUCCCCGGGCUUAACCUGGGAACUGCAUUGGUGACUGGCAGGCUAGAGUAUGGCAGAGGGGGGUAGAAUUCCACGUGUAGCAGUGAAAUGCGUAGAGAUGUGGAGGAAUACCGAUGGCGAAGGCAGCCCCCUGGGCCAAUACUGACGCUCAUGCACGAAAGCGUGGGGAGCAAACAGG